rnacentral:rRNA from 1 species
UACGUAGGGUGCAAGCGUUGUCCGGAAUUACUGGGCGUAAAGAGCUCGUAGGUGGUUUGUCGCGUUGUUCGUGAAAACCGGGGGCUUAACCCUCGGCGUGCGGGCGAUACGGGCAGACUUGAGUACUGCAGGGGAGACUGGAAUUCCUGGUGUAGCGGUGGAAUGCGCAGAUAUCAGGAGGAACACCGGUGGCGAAGGCGGGUCUCUGGGCCUUACCUGACGCUGAGGAGCGAAAGCAUGGGGAGCGAACAGG